GAACUGUGUUGUUAUAUUUACUAACACGCACAAAUUGAAAUUUUAUUUUAACGUAUACUCGAUGACAAGAACAAGCACGACAAUUAUUGCUUUAAAUAAUCAUACCAGUUAAACAAAUAAUUCAAUGUCAGAAAUUCAACUCGAAAUUAGUCAUCUCCAAAGCAAAUUCACAAUUGAAAAGAUAAAAGAAACCUAAUUGAAGUCAAGAAAGCGACUUCGAACGCGUUUAUUGAAUCAAAUUUCUCGGAAAAAGAAC
rnacentral:misc_RNA from 1 species